ACGUUUCCUCCCAGCGUUCACGAUAACUUCAACAACCCAUGGAUAAACCCAAGCCAGCCUCCAUCCCAACCUCCAGAUUUCCCCUCACGCCCGUUUCCAUCUUCCUCCAUGUUUCUUUACCAAACAACCCAGCAUCCCGGACAUCCCAAACCGAGAUUCCCAGCUGAAUCUAUCCUUCCAAUAUCCCACAAAUUAGCUCCCCUGUUCCCAGCCGAAGGAAGUCAAACAUUCAAGUCCAAGCUUCCUCUUCUUCCGGUUUGAUCUCAUGGAGCAGCCCAACGUCCUUCGGAUCACAUCUCCCCAUUCUGUGGAUCACGCCCCAGCUCAUCUUCCCCGUAUCCGCGAUUCAUUCUUCCGCUUCUCCCAGCAUCCCACCUUCAACCACC
rnacentral:lncRNA from 1 species